rnacentral:rRNA from 1 species
UACGGAGGGGGCUAGCGUUGUUCGGAAUUACUGGGCGUAAAGCGCACGUAGGCGGCUUUGUAAGUUAGAGGUGAAAGCCCGGGGCUCAACUCCGGAAUUGCCUUUAAGACUGCAUCGCUAGAAUUGUGGAGAGGUAAGUGGAGUUCCGAGUGUAGAGGUGAAAUUCGUAGAUAUUCGGAAGAACACCAGUGGCGAAGGCGACUUACUGGACACAUAUUGACGCUGAGGUGCGAAAGCGUGGGGAGCGAACAGG